GUAUCUGGUCAAUAUAAAGGAUAAUACUUGUCUUUAACCACAAGUAAUAAACCCUGCGCAUUUCUUAAAUGUAUCUUCUUAAAAUUGCAAACCUUAUGCUUAACCUUAAAUGAAGACAAAAAAAGCCAAUUUUUGUUGCAAAUUUGACUUUUGUGCCAGUGGAAUCUGACUUUGUGGAUAUAGAAGUUAGUGGAAACCAAUACUCUAUUCGGGCCAAUUCCGAAUGGAUGUGUGUGCAACGGGCGGUGGAAUGGAAUAUUGGAACCAAUUUGGUGGUUGAAGAUUAGCGAACCCCUACUACAAAUCACUCAAUUUAUAUAGUCUGUGCGUUUAGCCCCCUGCAAGCUAUCCAAAUGUAACAGGAAAAAUAUAGACCAGACACACGCGGUAAACUGCUUGUAGCUUCGCCAAACGUGGGGGAUAUUGUUGGCCAAACCAAAAGAAAAAAACAAGCCCAUUUUUUUUUAUUAAGCCUUUGCACCGAGAGGGGGAGCACCUUGAUGUUCUAGUACACUUCACCAACUCCCCCCAGUGCUACUGUGCUGUGCUUCAGCCGCUGUUAGGAAUGCGUUACUAAAUGAUGUAGGUCUUGCCGUGGUCUCGGGCUGUAUUGAUGGCUCAACCGUGAUCUAUCCUUUGAUGGGAUUCCGCGCCAAAUUACGCACGAAACACAACGGUCUUCGGAAUUGGAAUGGAAAUGCCCUCCCAACGCUGCAUUCGGAGCCGACGAUAUGAACCAUGCCUAGUUAAUUUUACAAGGAUUUCUCCUUUAUCCAGUGUGUAGACCGUGAACGAGUUUGAAAUGUAUACAUUUUAUUCGGAUUUGGAAUAAAACGAAAAGCAAUUCAUCCGUGAAGAGCGAGGUGUUGCUGUCGAUUUCUUUUUUUUAAUCUAUUCAGCAAAUAUCAAAGAAUUUUAGAUGGAACUGGAGAAUAUUGUGGCCAAUACGGUACUGCUAAAAGCAAGAGAAGGUGGAGGAGGGAAGCGGAAAGGGAGGAGUAAGAAAUGGAAGGAGAUCCUUCGCUUCCCCCACAUCAGCCAGUGCACUGAGCUGGGCAACAGCAUCGAUCGGGACUACAUGAGCCUGUGUGAGAAGCAGCCCAUCGGCAGACUGCUGUUCCGCCUGUACUGUGAGACCAGACCUGAAUUGCUGCGAUGCAUCCACCUACUGGACGCCAUGGAUGACUAUGAGCUGGCGCCUGAUGAGAAACGGAAAAGCAGAGGAGGUGAAAUUAUUGGGAAGUUCCUCACUAAACAGUCGUCAGAGUGUGUGGAGGCAGCAGAGAGCCUUGCUGAGCAGUGUAGAGAGAACCUGGAACUUCACCCCUGCAAGGAGAUCUUCAGUGACUGUCGCAAGGCUCUCCAUGACUACCUGAGACGAGCUCCCUUCUCUGACUACCAAAACAGCAUGUACUUUGACCGUUUCCUACAGUGGAAGAUGCUGGAGAGACAGCCAAUAACUAAAGACACGUUUCGACAGUACCGAGUACUGGGGAAGGGAGGAUUCGGAGAGGUGUGUGCGUGCCAGGUGCGAGCCACAGGGAAGAUGUAUGCCUGCAAGAAGCUGGAGAAGAAGAGAAUUAAGAAGAGGAAAGGAGAGUCCAUGGCCCUUAAUGAGAAACAAAUACUAGAGAAGGUCAACAGCAGAUUUGUUGUGAGUUUAGCAUAUGCCUAUGAGACCAAAGAUGCUCUGUGUCUGGUGCUGACCUUAAUGAAUGGAGGGGAUCUGAAGUUCCACAUCUACAGCAUGGGGACUCCAGGCUUUGAGAAGGACCGGGUCCAGUUCUAUGCUGCCCAGAUCUGCUGCGGCCUGGACCACCUACACCAGGAAUCGAUCGUCUACAGGGAUUUAAAACCAGAGAAUAUUCUAUUAGAUGACAAUGGACACAUCCGGAUCUCAGAUCUGGGCCUGGCCAUCAAAGUGCCUGAAGGGGACCCCAUACGAGGCAGAGUGGGAACAGUGGGUUACAUGGCUCCGGAGGUGAUCAACAACGAGCGCUAUGGGAUGAGUCCAGACUGGUGGGGGCUGGGAUGUCUCAUCUACGAGAUGACCGCCGGACGCUCACCCUUCCGCGCACGCAAAGAACGAGUGAAGAGGGAAGAAGUGGAGAAGAGGGUGCAGGAGGGAGAGGAGGAGUACAGCGACAAGUUUACAGAGGACACCCAGGCCAUCUGUAGAGUGCUGUUGACCAAAGAUCCUAAGCAGAGGCUGGGCUGUACAACGGAGGGGUCAACAGGGGUGAAGGCUCACUGCUUCUUCAGGAACAUCAACUUUAAGAGACUAGAGGCAGGCAUCCAGGAGCCCUCCUUUGUACCUGAUCCCCGGGCGGUGUACUGUAAGGAUGUGUUGGACAUUGAGCAGUUCUCUACAGUCAAGGGAGUAAAUCUGGACCAAACCGACAACGACUUCUACUUCAAAUUCUCUACAGGCUGCGUGUCCAUCCCAUGGCAGCACGAGGUGGGUGAACUAAAUGGGACGUCUUUCCCUCUCCUCUGGCCUCUUCUGAGAGGUAGUCUGCAAGAUGAUAGACACAGAGUGUUUCAGUGAUCUGAAUGUGUUCGGGCCCCAGGCGACCAGAACCCCAGAUCUGGACUGGAACACACCCCCCGAGCCUCCCCGACGCAGCCUGCUGGACAGGAUCUUCAGGAGACAUCACCCCGAGGUGUCCAUCGCCAACAGUCGCGUGUCUUCCUGCAGUGUGAACUCAGUGGACUCCAUGUCAAACUCUGCCCCCUAGUGGCCAUGGCUCUGUGUGGCGCCACACACAGACAGAGGAGGAGCCGGAAGGAUCUUCUCACUGCUGAUUGGUUUACACCUGGCCUGACCAGCUGUCAGUCUUCCGGAGGCACCCAACCCAAGCCCAUGGUCAGUCUAGGGGAAAUGCUGACCAUGACCCGGACCUGAGACCCAUGGGGAAUUAUUGGAGGGACGUUUAAAUAACGCAAAUACGUUUUGAAAACAAUGCUCAGACACUUCACUUACCUUCAGGAUCGCUGGAGUAGAGAAGAGCCACUGACUGUGUUGAUGAAUAAGAAAAAACUAGCUAAUUCAGGGGAUCCACUGUCUGAGAAAGACCACAGGAAAUACAAGAUGGGGUCUUUGUUGCUGUUUAUUUUUUAUUUUGAAAGAAAUCAAAUUAUUUGCAUAAAUUCACAUUCACACUCAAAUGCACUCUCUGUUCAUUUAUUCCUCUCUUCCCCCCUCCCCCUCUCUCUUUUUGUCUCUUUCUCCUUUUCACCUCCCUCUCCCCUAAUCACUUAUAAACGUACAUGCAACCAACAACAUCACCAACCUCAAGACACAAUGUGCAUAUUGCCUUGUAUACCCUCAGGCCAAAGAUAUAGUUCAGUUAUGUAUUUGUGUUAUUGUUGCCAUACCCGUUUUGGAGGAGGAAGGGGGAUUUGCCUGGUCUUUAUUCAAUCCCAUAUUCAACUUGAGGCAGCAGCUAUGCUACACCUAAGUCACAAUCAAACAUGUGUUUGCAUACAACAGGCUUCCCCCCCCCCCCCCCCCCCCCCACGCACACACACAACUGUGUUAUUAGAAUUGUAACCACAAUACUUGUCUUGUUUUCUGCACUUUUCCCAAAGAGUGCACCACCGCGCCCUGUUGACCUUGAGAAAAAGUAGAUUUGCCAAACCAGUAAGCCACCAUUUAUUCACCAAUUAAGAUGUUUUUACAGUAAAGAUGUUAUUGUUUUACCUCAGACAUUAAAGUAAUAUUACUGUGAUGUAAAUGUUGUAAUAUCCAUUGAGCCAGUGCUGUUUUGUGUUUGUGUUGCCAUCACGACCAUGGGUGCAUCUCGAUAGUCUCAAUAGGGAGGUUUUCUCUCCUCCUUUUCUUCAGCUGCACUGAUCCUAAAGGAAAGGUGAGGAAUCCUGGAAGAUAUAUGACCUUUUUCUACAGGAAAGGAGCUUUAACCAAUCCAGUGCGGAUAAAGGAGAGGGAAGCCGUGUUAGACUAUUGAGGUUCCGGGGCUCUGGUAGAGUAAUUGGUAAAGGGACCACAUGUCACCUCACAAUGGGAAGCCUUCCAACACACUCAAACCAAAGGGAAGAAAAGCUUUGGUUUUGGAAUUUGAUGUCUUAUUUUAAGGAAGACUGAAUAUUUACAGAAAACAAUUGUACUUACACAUGUAGUCUUGGCCAGUUAUUAUUUUAUUCGUAAAUCAUUUCACAAAUUGAAAAUCAGAAGUGCCUCCUCUUUAGCCUGAUCUUCUAGACGACUCGCACACAAAUGUUUGCACUUUGUUUCUCUCAUGAUCGAUUUGUUUCUUUAUGACACACACACACACUGUAUUUGGCUGGUGGUGGAGGCUGGGGAGUGUGGAGAGAGAGAGAGAGGAUAAGGAGGAUGAAAAGGAGAGAACGAGGAUGGAUCUCUUCCUGCUAUUGUUGUACAUUACAGUGCUGAGUGUACAGAAUGUAAAGCCAAACCCACUGUGCUCUGCAGCUCCGAAUAAAUAAACCCUGUGCUGCCUUAGCAUAUCUGUA